UUAUAACAAAGAAGUAACACAUAAUAAGUUUACCUUAUUUAGUGUGUAUCAAUCGAGUUUCUGACCUAUCAGCUUUUGAUGUUAGGGUAUUGGCCUAACAUGGCUAUGACGGGUAACGGGGAAUUAGAGUUCGAUUCCGGAGAGGGAGCCUGAGAAAUAGCUACCACAUCUAAGGAAGGCAGCAGGCGCGUAAAUUACCCAAUUCUAAAGAAGAGAGGUAGUGACAAGAAAUAACAAUACAAGGCCAUUUCAUGGUUUUGUAAUUGGAAUGAUGGGAAUUUAAAACCUUCCCAAAAUUCAAUUGGAGGGCAAGUCUGGUGCCAGCAGCCGCGGUAAUUCCAGCUCCAAUAGCGUAUAUUAAAAUUGUUGCAGUUAAAACGCUCGUAGUUGAAUUUCAAAGAAUCAAUAUUUUAAGUAAUGCUUUUGGUUUAAGAUGCUUAGGCAAUACAACGUAUCUGCUCUUUGCAUUCCUUAUCCAAAAUGUGUUCUUAUUAUAAAAAGGAUUCUUUUUAAAAUCUCCUUUAC
rnacentral:rRNA from 1 species